rnacentral:rRNA from 1 species
UGGGGAAUAUUGCACAAUGGGCGCAAGCCUGAUGCAGCAACGCCGCGUGAACGAUGAAGGUCUUCGGAUCGUAAAGUUCUGUUGCAGGGGAAGAUAAUGACGGUACCCUGUGAGGAAGCCCCGGCUAACUACGUGCCAGCAGCCGCGGUAAUACGUAGGGGGCUAGCGUUAUCCGGAUUUACUGGGCGUAAAGGGUGCGUAGGUGGUCCUUCAAGUCGGUGGUUAAAGGCUACGGCUCAACCGUAGUAAGCCGCCGAAACUGGAGGACUUGAGUGCAGGAGAGGAAAGUGGAAUUCCCAGUGUAGCGGUGAAAUGCGUAGAGAUUAGGAGGAACACCGGUGGCGAAAGCGGCUUUUUGGCCUGCAACUGACACUGAGGCGCGAAAGCGUGGGGAGCAAACAGG